UUUAUGACUUCAAUUAUUGUUUGAGUGGGAGACAAUAACCAUUAAUCAUCAGUGUUCACAUCGACUUGACACUCUAAAAAAUAUGGCUAAUGUUCAGGUUAGCAAGACGCAUGAUGAUAGCCCUGAUGAGGCUCUUUACUGCAGCAGAGGACAGACCUUUGUUCGUUUUGUAGGUACAUAUGUGUUUCAGUUUAUAAAAACACGUUACAUGUGCAUCGGAAUGGGUGUGAUUCAGGUCAAAGCGCAAUGUUGAGCUUUUACUUAAAAAAUGUGGCUUAGAGCUGCUGAAAACCCAAAAUUCAGUUUCUCUGAAAACUUGAAAUUUACAAAUUUGAGUAAGAGAUGGUUAUUAUCACUCUUAACGUUAUUGCCAAGAUCAUUCAUGGUAAGUUUAGUGGAAGGAAGAAGGCACCCAAGGAGCAGUGAUAACCUUGAUGGGAAUGGAAAGGAGAACUGAUUUAAGUAUUUUGGGAAGAUUCAUAAGAUGUCUACUGCACUUGGAGUCAGCAUAUCAAUAAUUGGUAUACAUAGAUGUAUUCAGGACAUACCCAAUGUUUUAGAGGAUUUUGUGUGUUGAUAAUUAAGUUGCUGAUUUCAUCUACCAGCAGGGGUUAGCACCUGCCCAUACUACUGAUUUAUUGACCAUGCUGAAUAAUGACUGCUGGCUGUUUAAUUUGUCAGCAUUUUACCCAAAUCCCAUGGGAAAUUGAUAUAGAAUUGUCAAGAGGAAAACAGGCCAAAGAUGUAGAUAAGUUGAAGGCCAACAAGCUUCCUGUAUUCAUCAGCAGUUCCACAUGCUGAUUGCCUCUGUAUCAUGCUACAUUGGUGAAGCUAUUCAUGCAAAAGGAUCUCUGACAAAGUAUUGCAUAUAUAUACUGUACACAGACAUACUUUGUAGGCCAAUGUCAUCUUUAUGUUUUUGAGAAAUGUAAUUUUGGGUUUUCAUUAGCUCUAAGUCAUAUUCAUCAAAAUAAACAUUUGAAAUGCAUCACCGUAUUUAAUGACUCGCUGCAUUUAACAUUUGAAAUUUCUAUUCUAAUUUAUUGAAAUGUGUGUGUACACAGAUGGACAUUAAUAUUAAAUGUGUCUUAUAUCAACAUUUUAUAAGGUGUUGAAAUUCCUCUUUUUUCCCACCUUUUAUCUUUUAAUUGCUCAAUUGCUGCUUCUUAGUAAUCAGUGGCACAAGUGAAGUGCAAAUAUAAUGAGUUGUUUCUUGGUUAUGUUAAUAUAUGCACUUCUAAACAUAACAUCUAACAAAUGCUAAUGAAGAGUAUUAGUCAAGGUAAGCAUAUCAUAAACAGGAAUUACUCGUCUUGCACUGGUAAGUAAUUGCAGCCGAUUCCAAAAUUAACUUGUCUGUUUGUUGAAACUCUGUUACACCCUAAACCUGCUGCUAAACAUACAGUUCCCAGCAAGAACAAAGCAAUGUUUGCUGAUUAAAACAA